rnacentral:misc_RNA from 1 species
GCCAGCGCCCAUUCUUUACAUACAAAAAACUAUGCGAAUAUAAAAUUACAAAUUAUCACAACAAAAAACAUUCAAAAAAAGAGGAAAGUAGUAUCAAAUGAAAAUAAUCAGAGUAAUCAAUAUAAAACAUACCAACCAGAACAAUUAAUUUGAAUCGUAAAUAAUUAGCAGCGUAUACAGCUUUGUCGUGCAAUACGAGAAAAGUGUAUUUUAGAAGCACUCUUCAUAUUUUCUAAGCCGUUUCAUUUAUACAUAACAUUUAUUUUAGUCUGCUGCCAAAGUUACUAGC